UACGGAGGGUGCGAGCGUUGUCCGGAAUCAUUGGGCGUAAAGGGCGCGUAGGUGGCCUGCUAAGCGUGCGGUGAAAGCCUGGGGCUCAACCCCGGGUCGGCCGUGCGAACUGGUGGGCUUGAGCACUGUAGAGGCAGGCGGAAUUCCGGGUGUAGCGGUGGAAUGCGUAGAGAUCCGGAAGAACACCGGUGGCGAAGGCGGCCUGCUGGGCAGUGGCUGACGCUGAUGCGCGACAGCGUGGGGAGCAAACAGG
rnacentral:rRNA from 1 species